rnacentral:tRNA from 5 species
GCGGCUGUAGCUCAGUGGAUAGAGCAUCUCCCUCCUAAGGAGAGGGUCGCAGGUUCGAUUCCUGCCAGCCGCACCA